rnacentral:misc_RNA from 1 species
GAUCAUUACCAGUGCCGCCGGCGCCCGCCCCGACCUCCGGGUCCGGGUGCGCACCGGUUCGAGCCCCACCCGUGAACACUGAACCUCACGUUGCCUUGGCGGGCCCGCUGCACGCCAGCCGCCGGGGGAGUCCUGCCGGUGCGCUUACCCGCGCCGCGCACCUCCCCGGGCCCGCGCCCGCCAAUGGACCCCAAGUGAACUUCUGAUGGAACUAGAACGUCUGAGUAAUUUGUUAAAUAAACAAAACUUUCAACAACGGAUCUCUUGGUUCCGGCAUCGAUGAAGAACGCAGCGAAAUGCGAUAAGUAAUGUGAAUUGCAGAAUUCCGUGAAUCAUCGAAUCUUUGAACGCACAUUGCGCCCUCUGGUAUUCCGGGGGGCAUGCCUGUCCGAGCGUCAUUGCAACCCUCAAGCGCGGCUUGUGUGUUGGGUCCCGUUGUCCCCGCGCUCGCGGGGACAGGCCCGGAAAGCAGUGGCAGCGUCCCGACGCAGGUGCCUGAGUGAAUGGGAUCAAACUAUCCGCUCGAGAGGCCCGGUCGACGCCCGCCGAUCAACCAAUCUUCUUCGGUUGACCUCGGAUCAGGUAGGGAUACCCGCUGAACUUAAGCAUAUCAAUAAGCGGAGGAA